UUUCACAUAAUUGGGGGAGAAAAAUAAAUAUUGCUUGUUAAGUACGAAAAGGAUAUUAUUGUCAUUUUGCUUCUAUUACUGACACAUUAAAGCCCACAUAAGUUUUGCCUUGGGUAGUUUGCUAAUUAACAAGUUCUUAUAGGAUUUUCAUUCGAUUCACUCUUUUUCUUAAAGGGUUUAUUUGUGAUAUAACUAAAAAAAAAGUAAAGUUAGUUUUGUAGAAAAAGGAUAGAAAGAGAUAAGAGAGAAUAGGAGAAAAUGUGUGAUUUUGAUUAUAUAAUGAAUAAGUGAGGUCCGCGCUACGCGCGAGAUUUGAUAGAUCGAGUUUUAUAAAAUAUUUAAUUUUGUGUAAAUAAUAUUUAUGUUAAGUUGGGUCUAGGUAUGAUUUUUGUUGUAUACACAAAAUUUCAAUUAUAUAACUAAAAAUGACCGAAUUCUUAGUAUU
rnacentral:lncRNA from 1 species